rnacentral:rRNA from 1 species
AGCUUGACACUGAACAUUGAGCCUUGAUGUGUAGGAUAGGUGGGAGGCUUUGAAGUGUGGACGCCAGUCUGCAUGGAGCCGACCUUGAAAUACCACCCUUUAAUGUUUGAUGUUCUAACGUUGGCCCCUAAUCGGGGUUGCGGACAGUGUCUGGUGGGUAGUUUGACUGGGGCGGUCUCCUCCUAAAGAGUAACGGAGGAGCACGAAGGUUGGCUAAUCCUGGUCGGACAUCAGGAGGUUAGUGCAAUGGCAUAAGCCAGC